rnacentral:lncRNA from 1 species
AAAAAUAUAUGAAAUGCAAAAAAAAUUUGUAUCCAUUUUUUAGUUAUUAUUAUAAUUUUAUUUAUAAAGUGAAAAAAGAAAUUUAGAAGAAAUAAGAUAAAAUGCACAAAAAAGAAAUUGGGAAGAAAUAAGAUAAACGAAGGAAAAAAAUUUGGGUAGAAAUAUAUAAAAAACGAUGGAAAAAGAAAUUGGGAAUAAAUAGAUAAAACACAAAAAAAAAGUGUGAAAGAGAAAUUAUGAAAAAAAAUUGCAAUAAAAAAGGCACAAAGAAAAAGUAAAAAGUCGCAAUAAAAAUAACACAAAGGAGAAGUGUUAAUGGAUUUCGAACCCAGUAAUCCAUGGAAGCCAAAUAGCAACUUACCCAGCGG